rnacentral:misc_RNA from 1 species
GAUGAAGAACGUAGCGAAAUGCGAUAAGUAGUGUGAAUUGCAGAAUUCAGUGAAUCAUCGAAUCUUUGAACGCACAUUGCGCCCCUUGGUAUUCCAUGGGGCAUGCCUGUUCGAGCGUCAUUUGUACCUUCAAGCUUUGCUUGGUGUUGGGUGUUUGUCCCUCGAGACUCGCCUUAAAGUCAUUGGCAGCCAGUGUUUUGGUUUUGAAGCGCAGCACAAGUCGCGAUUCAAGGCUAUCCGCCCGCUUCCACAAGCCUUUUUCACUUUUGACCUCGGAUCAGGUAGGGAUACCCGCUGAACUUAAGCAUAUCAAUAAGCGGAGGA